AUGUUGGUAGACCUUUUACGUGUUGACGCCCAAACCUUGAAUCUUGAAUACACCAACAAAAUCAUGACCAUAUUGGAAUCCUGCUGGUCACCAUUUGUUUGGACCAAUAACAUCAAGACAGGAUGCAAAGCUAUUGCUUUUUAUACAAUAGCAAUUAGUAUAAUAUGCAUUACAUUGGUAUGUUAUCAAUUAAAUGGAGGCGAUUCAUCUCAAUUGUAUAAUCCUCUGUUUGAGGCUGAUAUUAGAGGAUCAAUGCAAAUUGCUGGAGGAUUUAUGAUCUUUUAUUUUGCUCUCUUGAUAAUAUCAAGCGGUUUGUUGAUGCAUGGAUUAAGAGAAGGAAUAAGAGGAUGGUUACUUCCCUGGCUUAUAUUAUGGUUCAUUGUAUGUUUAUUCCAAUUAGUUUUUGGACUUUGGCUUGUAGGAGGUUAUUACAUCUAUCUUGAUGCAACAUUUGCAGCGAUGUGUAUUUGGUUAUGGAUGUCCUAUAAUAUUCCAUUAGUUUCAAGCGUCGAAUGAUUAACAGAGCAUAAAUAUCUCCAUUUGGCACCACGGAAUGGCGAACUCCAGCAAAGUAUCGGACGAACGAAAUUUACAGCAAUGGAUAUUUUUUUUCGAUGGGACUUUCGACUGUCGACAAUGGUUUCACGAAAGAUGGUGAAAUAAUACUCGACUGUUUUACAUUGUCGUCAUAAAUAUCGAAGCUGUCGUGUAAUAAAGGACAAAGAAUUAGAACGAUAUUUGAAUCCCUGGGAUUGGCAUUGAAUACUCGUCGACAAGGAGUUCCACGAUUGUUUGCUGCGCAGGUAGCAUUUCUUGCAACGCCGUCUUUUCUUUUCCGAUAGCUUUACAUGCGCAUACAGCCGCAUUAAAUUGUAGGCGGCGUAGAAGUGCUGAUAAGGCUGAUAUCGCGCACAUAAGGCGUCCGUAAAUGGUGUGUAAAAGUAUGAAUGGAACAUUCUUCUUCAGCCGAUAAAGCGACGAGAAAAUAACCCUAUGCUUUUUUAUGGUUUCCUUCGAACUGCGUAUUCCUAUAUUUCAGAGCUCUAUAAGCACAAAAUACAGAAUGAUGAAUUAAACGUUUCGUAGAAUGUUCCAUUUAAGGAAUACGUAGAUCUUCAUUAAUAACUCCAUCUUAAAUACCUAAAUAACACAAUAAAAGAUAUUUUAUUGCAAAAUGAUAAUGAUAGGUAUGUUUUACUAUUUUUUAUCUCAGAAACCUCAAUAAGAAUCUUUUGCAUUUAUUUGAAUUAUGAACGAUACAAAGUGACAUAAAAUAUAAUAUUUAAAAGACAACUCUUUAAAUUCCUAUCUUUGCUUUAAUCACAAUGUACUUUUCUAUUUUAGGAUUUCUAUAAAAUCACUAACAACGACCGUGUUAAGAUUUUACUUAAGAAUCGGAGAACAACUUUAUUAAUUACAUUUAAUAUAAAUCCAGUAGGAAUACGAAAGUGAAACAUUUUCUCGUAUUGCUAAUCCGUAAUCGACAUGAAAUAAAGAAUCGUUAUAGGUACUCGCGGAUCGUUGUAAAAGUGGUUACAAAAUUAUUCGAACAUGGAACUUCGAAUCAGUCCUUCAGGCCGUGUAAAGGAAACGACACGAAUUCUAAUGAUGGCAUUCGCUUGUUUCGUAGGUUUACUGUUCACUGAUUCAGAGUGUCAGAUAAGCUUUCGAGGCUUGAAAGUUUCGCUGCCCGCUCGUUGCGUCGCACAUAACGAAACGCGACAGAGUUAAUUAUUGUUUCAGUUACUGCGAGGACGCUUGACACUCGAGAUCGUCCGAUCGUACUUCUAAAAAUGCAGGACGCGCUUAUGGUUAAUGCAUGUUAACGUGUGCCGUUCAGUUGAAUAGAUACAACGAAGCAAAUGUAACGAGAGCGUGUUGUAAUCGACUUGUUAAGAUCUCGGAAAAAUAGGAGAACUUUGAACGAAUGUGCUCUGUUGAAUAAAACAAACGCAGUUCUAGAAACA